GACCGUGACUUAAUAAAAGGGUUAAUCAAAUAUUUUCCUAUACAAUUAUAACUUUCAAUCGAAUCAGGACCAAAGCCCAUUUAGUUAUAACCUUAGUCGGGUCAACACAAUCUCCUUAUAUAUUUUUUGUAGUUUUCAUGAAAGAUUACAACCAAGAGAGAGACAAGUUCAGAAUCUAGUUUAAGAGAAUAAUUACCAUAUUUUAAACUUACUUCAAUGUUUGUUCAAUUUCAUGGUAAAAUAUGUAUUUAUCAGUUUAAAAAUAUUGAUAAGUGCUAUGGAAAGGUAACUAAAUUAUAAAUUAUUAAGCACUUAUCACU
rnacentral:lncRNA from 1 species